UCCGCAAUAGUUUAGUGGCUAGAAUUUCCGCCUGUCAGACGCGGGGGACCGGAGUUCAAUUCUCCUUUGCGGAG
rnacentral:tRNA from 1 species